GGCUGGGGCAGGAGGGUGACAUCUCAGAAGGACCCCUCCAGAGCUUGUCCCUGCCAUGCGCCUCCUGUGCGUUGUGGUCCUGGCUGUCCUGGGGGCAGGGCACACGAAUGCUGGCGUCACCCAGAACCCGAGGCACAAAAUCGCGAGGACAGGAGGGAACUUGACCCUGCAAUGUACCCAGAACAUGAACCAUGAGUACAUGUACUGGUACCGACAAGACCCGGGACUGGGGCUGAGGCUGAUCCACUACUCUGUCCGUGUUGGUGAUACUGAAAAUGGUGACAUCCCCGAGGGUUAUAGCGUCUCCAGAUCAAAAAAGGAGCACUUCCACCUCACCCUGGGGUCGGCCGCCCCCUCGCAGACAGCUGUGUACUUCUGCGCCAGCAGUUACUCCACAGUGCUGCAGGGUCACAUCAGCCCCUCACAAGAAGGGCUCACGAGGCCCCCAUAG